UGCUGUUUUGGUGCCCUGGCUACCACGCUGUAACAGCGUGAAGCGAACCCGUGCACAUGCGCAGAUACCGUGUGUGACUUUGUGAGAGCGAAGUGUUGCAUCUCGCUCAUCUCAAUAUCUCCGGCGCUGCUCGUGGCAACGUCAUUUCACUGCGUCUACCUUUAACAAACCAGCUUAGUAGACACUUUCAGGAUAUUGUAAAUCCUGUAAGGAGGGCUUGGGCUUUCCAGUGGCCUUGCAUUCCCACACCAGAGAGUCGUCAAUGGGCUUCUGCACAUCCUGGGGUUUCUCUAUCAGAUGUGGAGGGGCUGCAUGGUCAAAACAACAUGGCUGUGAAUUAGAACAUUCUCAUACAGAUCCCAUUUCUCGCAGCUCAGCAUUCAACACCAUAGUGCCCAGAAAGCUCAUCACUAAGCUAAGGACCCUGGGA